AUGGGACAAAGGAGCAGAGUUGGGGUCCUCACCAGAUGUCCAGGAUGAGGAGUGUGGCCACGAUGGCAUAGACACCAUCACUGAAAGCUUCCACCCGCUCUUUGCUGAGAGAUGGAGGGACAGCAGGAGCAACAAAGGAAAAUGCAGAAAACUGUCCUUUAUGGAAACGAACUGUGUAUAAAGGCUUAAUCUCAAAAGGAAGAACUAUCAUAAAUAAGAAAUGCAUACCAGUCGUGUACUUUCUGAGAAUUUAGUAUCCAGAAUACAUAAAGAAUGGAAACAGCUCAACAACAGAAG